CCCAGACUCCUACGGGAGGCAGCAGUGGGGAAUAUUGCACAAUGGGGGAAACCCUGAUGCAGCGACGCCGCGUGAGUGAGGAAGUAUUUCGGUAUGUAAAGCUCUCUCAGCAGGGAAGAAAAAAUGACGGUACCUGACUAAGAAGCACCGGCUAAAUACGUGCCAGCAGCCGCGGUAAUACGUAUGGUGCAAGCGUUAUCCGGAUUUACUGGGUGUAAAGGGAGCGCAGGCGGUACGGCAAGUCUGAUGUGAAAGCCCGGGGCUCAACCCCGGUACUGCAUUGGAAACUACCGGACUGGAGUGUCGGAGGGGUAAGUGGAAUUCCUAGUGUAGCGGUGAAAUGCGUAGAUAUUAGGAGGAACACCAGUGGCGAAGGCGGCUUACUGGACGAUCACUGACGCUGAGGCUCGAAAGUGUGGGGAGCAAACAGGAUUAGAUACCCGGGUAC
rnacentral:rRNA from 1 species